GAGAGGAGAGAGAAAGGGUAGGGUGAAAGAGAGAGGGGGGUGGGGGAGAUGGAAAGAGAGAGAGAGAGAGGAAAGAUGGUGAUAGGGAGAGAGAGAGAGAGCCAAGAAUGUUGCAUCUGACGAAACAUGCCAAACGAAAAAGUGUGUGUGUGUUUGUGUGUGUGUACUUUGUAUAAUGACCGCGUGUCUUACUGGUAUUUGCGUACUUUCCUUCCCCUACAUAUUGUUUCCACCUUCAUCCCAGCCCGCAAUUUACCUUCGUCCUUUCUCGCUUCCUUUACCCCCCCCCCCCCCCAUCAUCUCAGCAAGGGGUCCAUCCAGGAAGGAGGAGGGAAGGGGAGGAGACUCCACUGCCGAUAUUGGUCGUCGCGCAACAGGUUAAUGGUGUGAAACGGGUAGAUGGAGAGGGAUGGAAGGGCCGCGGCGAAAGGAAAAGGGAGGGGGAGAACUUGAUGUCCUAUGACAAAGGGAAACGGGAAAGCAGAGCGAAUAAUGAGAUAAGGAGAGAAGGGAGGGACGGAGACGCGAGAUGUAUUAUGAGCUCAAGGAAGGUAAGGGGAGGGCAGGAAGGAAGCAGAAAAGAGGAAGGGAAGGGGAAGGACAUAUAGAGCAGACAUAGCGGCCGUCAAUAUAUACUGCACAAUAACACCUAACUAUAUUUGCCCUUUAAACUACAGGAUGGCUUAAGAGAAGUAGCAGGGGAUGGAGGAGAGAGAGGGAAGGAAGAACAGAUCAGGGGUAGAGCAGGGAAGAGAGGUGAAAGCGAGGAAGGCGUGACAGGGUCAGGGACAGGGUCAAAGGUUAAGGGAUAAGGUCAAAGGUUAUGGGACAAGGUCAGAGGUGAAGGGACAGAAUCAGAGAUUAAGAGACAAGGUCAGAGGUGAAGGGGCAGGGUCAAAAGUGAAGGGAUAGGGUCAAAGGUGAAGCAACAAGGUCAGAGGUGAAAGGACAGUCAAAGACAAAGGGGCAAAGUCAAAGGUGAAGGAAUAGGGUCAGAGGUUAAGGGAAAGGGCUAAAGCUGUGGAGACAGUGACAAAGGGGAAUGUGCAAGGUAAGAUGAGAAAGGACAGGGUCAAGGGUGAAGGGACAGGGUCAGAGGUGAAGGGGUAGGGUCAAAGGUAAAUGGUGAAGAUAGGUUGGCAGAGUAGAAGAGUAGGAAUGGAAAUUUCUUAUAAACAAUUCAGUGGCAGAUUCUGAAACAGCCAAGCUAGCGCUGAAGCUGUAGAUGAAUGCGGGAAGAGAAAAGACAAAGAUGAAAAAAAGUUAUUUUCGGAGUUGAAUUAAGAUAAAGGUGAGCCUUCUAACAGGGCGAAAGGGCGGGCCAAAACAAGAAUGAGUGGACGGAGUGAAUGAGAGAAGCAAUAGGCUUGGUGAGUGAGAAAAAAAAAGACCAAAGACGCAAAUCGCGAGCGAACCUGCAAACAAAUGAAGUAAAAAGGCGCAAGGCGAGAAGAGAAGAAGCGGAGGAGCUCGCAGAGACGAGGGAGGGCGGAAUACUGGAGAAUGUAGUCGCGCAGCUCCCACUAAAUCCAAGAGCGUUUUAUGGGCGGGCGGAGGGACUCGCUGUAUUGAAUUAAUGGAGGGAGGCAACGCAAGACUUAUGACCCGGGCGAAGGGAGAUGCCGUCGUGUACAGGAAAAACAAACUUCAGUUGAAUUCACGAUCGUCUGAAAGUCAGAUUCCUGAGUGAAAGCACUCUGCAUGAAGCUCAGGAAAAAUCAAACUGUGUGACGAGGCUAUUAGAGUUAGGUUAUUGGUACUUCUUAAGAGAACUAUACAACAAAAAAAAGAGAAUAUUGUCGAGUUUAAAUAGGACGUGUUUUAUAGACGUUGCUGAAAUACCUGAAAGGGGACGUUGAUACGAAAUUGGCAGUCGCUUCCCUGGACCAGAACCUUGUGUUGAUCACCGAAUUGGUUGUAACCAAAAUUAUUGUCGCUAUUGCAAUACAGUCAUGAUUUGCCAUGUGAUCAUGACACCCUUGCUUCUCCCCGUCAUAAGUGAUACUACAUCUCUGACUAAGAUGUCGGUUUUAGUCGAGUAAUUGCAUUUUCCUGUGUACAUAGUCUUCUCAUCAAGAUGCCUUGUGUAUUUUCUCCACGUAUGAACAUAAACCUACGACAUAUAUUUCUACAUUUACUCCGGAAUACAAGAGGAAUAAGAACGAGAACUGUCUGGCUUGUCAUCGGGAGAUUGUUGGCUUUGUUUUAUAUCAAUACAAAUUUCUUUUUAAUUUUGUAAUGGAUUAAUGCUGUAAUGAAUGUCCUCAUGUUCUGCUUGGAUGUGCCAAGCUGAGCUGUGCUUACGUAAACUUACAUUAACUUGUUUGUUUGAUUAGUUUCGGCAUGUUUCACUCUCUUCCCCUUUAUUUGUUUGUCUUUCUAUCUCGUUCUUCUUACUCAUCUCUCCAUCCAGCUAUGUCUGUCUUCUCUGACUAAACAUAUAUUUAUCAAGAUUUAUCUUUUUGUUUGUCAAUUUACCUAUUAUCCUUCCUUUUUUCAAUUCUAAUCUCUGCAUCUAACAUUAAUUUCAGGGACAGAAGUUAUGAAUGUGAACUAGUAACUCUGUUCCAAAUUCCUGUUUAAGUCAUUUGCAAUCCUGAAGAUUCUUCGGGAUGCGAGCCGUUCCGUCGUGGGAUUGUGCGCAAAUGGCCAUAUGUAAAUAUGUAAAAGUUAAGUGGUAUAUUUUCAAAUGCCAAAUAUAAAGCAUGACAAAGAAGACCGAAACUUCACACAGAAGCCAUGGAUGAUAUAUAAGUUUAUAUAUAUAUAUAUAGAUAUAUAUAUGUAUAUAUAUAUAUAUAUAUAUAUAUACAGUAUGAAUAUAAAAGAAAUACACAAAAAACACGAUCCAUCAAACUGUAUAUAAGGUCAUGCCUCUUUCCUCAAAUGUAAAAAACAUAAACAAAAACACUAAUAUAAAGAUGAUAACAAUAACAGAAGAUAACUUCAUUGAAAAAAAUAAAGAUAAUAAAAACAAAACUAAAGCAUUAGCCAACACAAACAUGCUAAGAUCCUAGACUCUACCAGUCGCAUAAUGUCUUCAUAAUAUAGUGUUAUCUUUCCCCUCGCCAAACCUGCUCUCCCCUCAACCCCCCCCCCCCCCUAUGUCCCAAAUGUCGUGUUGCCAAGGAACUUCUGCUCUCUUUUGUACAUUGGUCUUCACAAUAAUGACUUAAGGCAGAGCUCAGUGCUGGUCGGCUAGAUAAGGAAUCGGUGAGUGUACUGUACAAGGAUGUUAUUUCUUUAGAUGUACGGUGUGUGUGUGUGGUGUGUGUGUGUGUGUGUGUGUGUGUGUGUGUGUGUGUGUGUGUGUGUGUGUGUGUGUGUGUGUGUGUGUGUGUGUGUGUUCUACUUCGAACAGUUGUUUGUUUGAAUAGGUUUAUGCGUGAAGAACCUGGUUGAAGCUCAUGUCAAUAUUAUGUUCCAGAGAAAUAAAAUAUAUAUAUAAGACUAUAUAUUCA